UGUUUAUUAAAUAAUAUCCUAGUUCCUGCUUUACUUCAAAGAAAACUAUGAAAAUGCUGAUGUCGAGUGUUUAUUCGUCAAGAAGCAUGUGCAGAAUUCAAAUAAUAUAUAAAAGAAACAUGCUCCUUGCUGUGAUACCAAUAACUACCCCCCUCGCACUCUUUCGAUUAUGGAGCCCCCGAGUCCUGUAAAUUAUUUCUAAUGCAUGAGAAGCGCCUGGCUGCUCUUAGAUACCUUCAGCAUGACUUUACUUCUCAUCUUAUUUUGACUUAUAUGAGAUAUACUUCCCUUUACUAUUUUUUGCUGGUAUUUCUCUUCAUAUGAAAUAUUAGAUACGCCAAGAUCGUAUCUAUCAAAGUGAAGCUCUUCAAGAACAGUAAGUGCUUUCUCCACAGAAAUUCUUCUUACAGGCAUUUUCUUAUAAACACUUAACCGCCCUUCAAAAGUCAUAUAUUAGCUUCUUUUUUUUAUUCCAAAGAUAAAUGUUUUGAGUUCUUUAGUCUCUUAUCU
rnacentral:lncRNA from 1 species